GACAGAGGCCCCGAGCGUUAGGCGGAAUCACUGGGCUUAAAGCGUGUGUAGGCGGAUCGUUAAGUGUCUUGUGAAAUCCCACGGCUCACCCGUGGAACCGCUGGGCAUACUGGCGAUCUUGGGCCAUUCAGGGGCAGCAGGAACAAGCGGUGGAGCGGUGAAAUGCGUAGAUAUCGCUUGGAACGCCAAAGGUGAAAACAGGCUGCUGGGAAUGUGCCGACGCUGAGACACGAAAGCCAGGGGAGCGAACGGG
rnacentral:rRNA from 1 species